AGGUAAUUAAGAUCCAACCAUUCUAAAUGAUACUUCCGAUUGACCUAGCAAAUAAAUUAUCGUUUAAGCGCUUUAUUAAAGAUGGAGAUUUGGUCAUUGUGUGUGAGAGGCAUGACACAAUGAAAGCAGUGAAGCUCCAACUCCUGAGGUAUUGACGCUGGUACCGAGUCACAGAACCCAGAUCCUUUAUAUAGCUGAUAUUAGUUUUGUUGUUAUGUACCUGGAGAUUGUUCCUGGUUGUGUAGUACUUGAAUCUGGUAUUGGAAGUGGAUCUUUGACAACUUCGCUUGCAAGGUCUGUUGCUUCCCACUGGCCAUGUUUAUACCUUCGAUUUUCAUGAACAGAGAGCUGGCUCAGCUAGGAAGAGGCAGGAGAGACGAGACAGAAAAAGAAAGGGUUGAGCAGAGAAAAUUUUGCAAUAAAAUUCUAAUUAUAGCUACGAAUACAAUUAUUAAGAAGAUAGAAAAUGUAUGACCGAACAAUUGUUUGACAUGAUUAUGAUUAAUAGUUCAAGAAAAAAUAAAAUUUCAAAAUAAUAUUUUCAUAUUGUAAACAAACCCAAGAAAUAUAUGGACAUUUUUGCGAAGG